rnacentral:rRNA from 1 species
CCUACGGGAGGCAGCAGUGGGGGAUAUUGCACAAUGGAGGAAACUCUGAUGCAGCGACGCCGCGUGCGGGAAGAAGUUCUUCGGUUUGUAAAGCUCUGUCAUCGGGGAAGAAAAUGACGGUACCUAACUAAGAAGCCCCGGCUAACUACGUGCCAACAGCCGCGGUAAUACGUAGGGGGCAAGCGUUAUCCGGAUUUACUGGGUGUAAAGGGAGCGUAGACGGGGGGAUAAGUCUGGUGUGAAAGGCCGCGGGCCAAACUGGGGACUGCAUUGGAAACUGUCAUGCUGGAGUGCAGGAGGGGCAGGCGGAAUUCCUAGUGUAGCGGUGAAAUGCGUAGAGAUUAGGAGGAACACCAGUGGCGAAGGCGGCCUGCUGGACGGUAACUGACGUUGAGGCUCGAAAGCGUGGGGAGCAAACAGGAUUAGAUACCCGAGUAGUC